CCCGCGCGGCGCGGGCGCUUCCGGGGACGUGUCUGAGGGCGAUGGCGGCCGGGGCGGGCGCGGCGCCGGCCGGGGAGGCGGACGAGCUCUUCGACCUCCGCAACAACUUCUACAUCGGCGCCUUCCAGGCCGCCAUUAACGAGGCGCAGCGCGCCAAGCCCAGCAGCCCCCAGCAGGAGGCCGAGCGGGACGUGUUCCUGUUCCGAGCCUACAUCGCCCAGCGGAAGUUCGGGGUGGUUCUGGACGAGCUCCGUGGCAGCCCCAGCCCCGAGCUGCAGUCCGUGCGGAUGUUUGCCCAGUUCCUGGCCAGCGACAGCCAGAGCCAGAGGGACUCCAUCGUGGCAGAGCUGGACAAGAAGAUGGCCAAGAGCGUGGAUGUCACCAACAGCACCUUCCUGCUGAUGGCAGCGUCCAUCUACUGCCACCAGCAGGACCCCGACGCUGCCCUGCGGGCCCUGCACCAGGGGGACAGCCUGGAAUGCCUGGCCAUGAUGAUCCAGAUCCUGCUGAAGCUCGACAGGCUCGACCUGGCCAGGAAGGAGCUGAAGAAGAUGCAGGAGCAGGAUGAGGAUGCCACGCUGACCCAGCUGGCCACAGCCUGGGUGAACCUGGCCUUGGGCGGGGAGAAGCUGCAGGAUGCCUUCUACACCUUCCAGGAGCUGGCAGACAGGUUCUGCCCCUCGCUGCUGCUGCUCAACGGGCAGGCGGCCGCUGCCAUGGCCCAGGGCCGCUGGGACGAGGCCGAGGGGCUGCUCCAGGAGGCUCUGGACAAGGACAGCGGGCACCCCGAGACUCUGCUCAACCUGGUGGUGCUGAGCCAGCACCUGGGCAAGGGCCCCGAGGUCACCAAUCGUUACCUGUCCCAGCUGAAGGAUGCUCACAAAAACCAUCCCUUCAUCCAGGAGUACCAGGCCAAGGAGAACGAGUUUGACCGCCUGGCUCUGCAGUAUGCACCCAGUGCCUGAGCCUGGGAGCCAGAAAAUCCCUUGGGAACCCAAAAAAUCCACUUUGGAACCCAAAAAAUCCCUUUGGAACCCAAAAAAUCCCUUGGGAACCCAAAAAAUCCACUUUGGAACCCAAAAAAAUCCACUUUGGAACACAAAAAAUCCCUUGGGAACCCAAAAAAUCCACUUUGGAACACAAAAAAUCCACUUUGGAACCCAAAAAAUCCCUUGGGAACCCAAAAAAAUCCACUUUAGAACCGAGAAAUCCCCUCUGGGACAGGGAAAAUUCCCCCUGGAACCCAAAAAAUCCUUUCUGGAACCUAAAAAAAUCCCCUCUGGGACCCAGAAAAUCCCCUCUGGAACCCAGAAAUUCCCUCUGGGACCCAGAAAAUUCCCUCUGGGACCCAGAAAAUUCUCCCAGAAACAAAAAAAAAUCCCCUCUGGAGCAGGGAAAAUCCCUUCUGGAACAGAGAAAUCCCCCCUGGGACACAAAAAAUCCCCCCUGGGACCCAAAAAAUCCCUUUGGAAUCCAGAAAAUCCCUUCUGGGACAGGGAAAAUCCUGUCUGGAACAGAGAAAUCCCCUCUGGAACUCAGAAAAUCCCCCUGGGACAGAAAAAAUUCCUUCUGGAACCUAAAAAUCCUCUCUGGGACAGGGAAAAUUCCCCCUGGAACCCAAAAAAUCCCACCUGGAACCUAAAAAAAUCCCCUCUGGGACCCAAAAAAUCCCCUCUGGAACCCAAAAAAUCCUCCCUGGAACACAAAAAAAUCCCUUUGGAAUCCAGAAAAUCCUCUCUGGAACCCACAAAUUCCCUCUGGGACCAAAAAAAUCCCCCCUGGAACUCAGAAAAUUCCCUCUGGAAGCAAAAAAAUUCCCCCUGGGACCCAAAAAAUCCCUUCUGGAACCCAAAAUUCCCCCCUGGAACACAAAAAAUUCCCCCCUGGAAUCCCAAAAUCCCCCCUGGGACCCAAAAAAUCCUCUCUGGAACCCAAAAAAUUCCCCUGGGACCCAAAAAAUCCCUUCUGGAACCCAAAAUUCCCCCUGGAACCCAAAAAAUCCUCUCUGGAACCCAAAAUUCCCCUCUGGGACCCAAAAAAUUCCCCCUGGAACCCAAAAUUCCCACCUGCACCUGUGGGACCCCCCAAAUUUGGGGAUAAAUUUUGGGGUUCCAGCCCCAGCUGAGCCCUUGGCAAGCACUGGAAUUGAUUCCUGGAAUUCUUGGGGCUGCAGCCCUGAGGGGUGGGAAGGGAAAAUCCCAAAUUCUGCAGGGAUCCAUCCCAAAUUUCCCAAAUUCUGCAUCCUCUCCAGCCCUGCUGACAGAUCCUUUGGGGGUAAAAAAAAAAAAAAAAUCCCAAAGCCAGAGGGGAAAACCCCAAAAUAAUUAAAAAAAAAAAAAAUUUAAAAUAAAUAAAAAUAAAAUUAAUUUUCCUGUAA